AUGCGGAAGAAAUCAGCAGGGUCCCUCUACAUCCAGUGGGCCAUCUUCCUCAUCGCCUACGAAGCCAUAAAGUGUGGACAGCACCCCUGGGAAGGACUUUCCCCCCUGAAGGACAACGCUGGCACCGGAGGCCCAGAAGAAGAGGUACGCCAGUUUCCUGUGGAGCAAAGAAACAACGCUGGCACUGGAGGCCCAGAAGAAGAGGUACACCAGCUUCCAAAGGAGCAGAGAUGCAGCGCUGACACAGGAGUUCCUGAAGAAGAUGUAGAACACCCACCAGCACAUCCACAGAACACAGAGAACAACAAACACCACAAACGGGACCUUUACGGAUACCAAGACGGAAAGACUCUUAAUGAACCACACUUGUCAAACACAUUUCUCCAAUUGGCAAAAAUGGUUGCCAAUAAUAGUCCAAAUCCGAAGAACUGUUAUGUGUGUGGCUUCAUACCCCACAACACAAAAGAAGGACUCCCGCUGAUGGCUCUGCCUGCUUCAUCCUGCGACACUUGUCACAUACUUAACUUCAAUUCUACCAAGAAGCACUGUACAUGUCCCAAACCGCCACAAAAUAGACCAUUAUACUGCAAUGAACUUGUCACAAAUUGUUAUUCCUGUGACACUUCUAACCCUAUCACCCUCACACUUGUUCCAGAGACACUGGAAUGGUGUGUCGAAAGAAAAGGGAAUAUUGACGUUGGAACAUCUAAAUGUGACUCUAUAUAUGCUUCACCACAGCAAGCAAACGAUGAGUCCAAAGGAAAUGUACCUCCAGGACAAAAUUCCUCUCCAGGCUUUAUUGAGAAUUAUAACCCCCUUGUUACAGUGAUGAAUCAUUGCUCCAUACCUUUACCCAAGGGUGUGUACUGGAUUUACGGCUCAAAGGCCUAUGAAUACUUACCAAAAGGAUUGUCUGGAACAUGUGGUUUGGGUCAUGUGAUACCAGCUAUGAGAGUCCUUGCUUUGCCACCGAAAGUUCACAUGGUAAAAAGGGACUUAUAUACACACACACAAACCCCAUGGACAAGAUUUUUUGAUGCCCUCAUUCCAAGUUAUGGAGUCAUGGCAUCCUUGGACCAAAUAAGAGACCUCUCCCAUGCACAUGUACGUUCAUACCUGACCACAAUGCCAACUUACAAGAAAUAA
ensembl:lncRNA